rnacentral:rRNA from 1 species
UACGUAGGGUGCAAGCGUUUAAUCGGAAUUACUGGGCGUAAAGCGUGCGCAGGCGGUCCGUUAAGACAGAUGUGAAAUCCCCGGGCUUUAACCUGGGAACUGCAUUUGUGACUGGCGGACUCGAGUAUGGCAGAGGGGGGGUAGAAUUCCACGUGUAGCAGUGAAAUGCGUAGAGAUGUGGAGGAAUACCCGAUGGCGAAAGGCAGCCCCCCUGGGG